AGCAUUAUACAGCGAAACUGCGAAUGGCUCAUUAAAUCAGUUAUCGUUUAUUUGAUAGUACCUUACUACAUGGAUAACCGUGGUAAUUCUAGAGCUAAUACAUGCUAAAAAUCCCGACUUCGGAAGGGAUGUAUUUAUUAGAUUAAAAACCAAUGCCCUUCGGGGCUCUCUGGUGAUUCAUAAUAACUUCUCGAAUCGCAUGGCCUUGCGCCGGCGAUGGUUCAUUCAAAUUUCUGCCCUAUCAACUUUCGACGGCUGGGUCUUGGCCAGCCAUGGUGACAACGGGUAACGGAGGGUUAGGGCUCGACCCCGGAGAAGGAGCCUGAGAAACGGCUACUACAUCCAAGGAAGGCAGCAGGCGCGCAAAUUACCCAAUCCCGACUCGGGGAGGUAGUGACAAUAAAUACUGAUACAGGGCUCUUUUGGGUCUUGUAAUUGGAAUGAGUACAAUUUAAAUCCCUUAACGAGGAACAAUUGGAGGGCAAGUCUGGUGCCAGCAGCCGCGGUAAUUCCAGCUCCAAUAGCGUAUAUUAAAGUUGUUGAGGUUAAAAAGCUCGUAGUUGAACCUUGGGCCUGGCUGGCCGGUCCGCCUCACCGCGUGCACUGGUCCGGCCGGGCCUUUCCCUCUGGGGAGCCGCAUGCCCUUCACUGGGUGUGUCGGGGAACCAGGACUUUUACUCUGAACAAAUUAGAUCGCUUAAAGAAGGCCUAUGCUCGAAUACAUUAGCAUGGAAUAAUAGAAUAGGACGUGUGGUUCUAUUUUGUUGGUUUCUAGGACCGCCGUAAUGAUUAAUAGGGACAGUCGGGGGCAUCAGUAUUCAAUUGUCAGAGGUGAAAUUCUUGGAUUUAUUGAAGACUAACUACUGCGAAAGCAUUUGCCAAGGAUGUUUUCAUUAAUCAGGAACGAAAGUUAGGGGAUCGAAGACGAUCAGAUACCGUCGUAGUCUUAACCAUAAACUAUGCCGAUUAGGGAUCGGACGAUGUUAUUUUUUGACUCGUUCGGCACCUUACGAUAAAUCAAAAUG
rnacentral:rRNA from 1 species